ACCAUCGUUUUCUUGAGGUUGUGCUGUCGUCCAAUGACGGGUAGUGAGAGCAGUACUGCUGACACCUGCACAGCAUGCUCACAUCAGCUACAGCUUUGCUUUACCUGGUUGCAUUUUUUGGAAAA
ensembl:snRNA